AACUUUUUUGAGACCUGUAGCAGGCAUUACAUUUUAAAUGAGCUAAUUAAGUGGAUAAAAGUGUAAAAUUUCUCAGUUUAAACAUUUGCUAUGUUAUCUAUGUUAUCUAUUGUGAAUAAAAUAUUGGCUCAUGUGAUUUGAAAUUCCUUUAGUUUUCAUUUUAUUCAAAUUUAAAAAACGUCCCAAUUUGUCUCUGUUCACAUUAGUUAAUGCACAAUGAACAUUAUCAAAUAUUAUUAAUGUUUUAAAACCUAUUGUUUAUUGUUAGCUAAGGCAUUAACAAAUGUUAAGGAAUAAACCCUUAUAGUAAAGUGUUACUAAAUUUUCUUUCACCAUUUCCUUCACAAUGUCUACUUAUUUCUAUGGCUAACAGAUUUUGUUACAUUAGUCUUUUUUACAGUCUUACCAUUGCUUGUAAGCUGGAUUGGGUAAGAUGGAUCCUCUUUAAAGGAACCAGGCAAGUACAGGAUGUACAGUUACAAGUUACAAGUCAUGUAUUUUUUCUACUGCAAUAUUAAAUGCUUUCACGUCACAUGUAAAAGUACACAGUAAUGUGGCUCAUCACUUUUUAUUUGUAGUUUACCUGAGUGUCCUUGCACUUUUCAGGAAUUAGGGCAGAUGUGGAGGCACAACGGGUGAUACCAGACACACCCAAGCGCAUUAUGUUUGGACAUUUAAUCAUGGCAGGAUCCAUGUGGAUGCUGUCCAUUGAGGAAAGAGUUUGUUCAGAGGUUUCUGGACAGAAUUAAUCCCAAAGAUGGGGAAAAGUGGACAUCCAGACAGGGAGCAAGCAAAAAGACAAGGAACUUGGUGCAGGGAAAAGCUGUGGCCAUUAACCCCCAUGUGAACAGCUUCAUGCAGUCCCUGAUAAGAGUUUGAAUGGACGACUUCAAACUAAAGGCCAGUGUGGUCUGUCUGCCACAGUUUAAUGCAUUUAUUUUUAGUGUUGAAUGAAAUUCAAAUAGAAUAUUUAAAACUCUGGGACAGUGUUCUUUUUACCACAGUUAAAUGUUACCUUUUAGUCGAUGAUGGACUUUAAACUGAAAACUUCAAACUAUGGACCAGUGUUCUAUUUGCCAUAGUUAAAUAUGUCACAGUCUCCAAACUUGUUUAUACUUGUUGAUUUUA